rnacentral:piRNA from 1 species
UGUGACAUAGAUCAGGCGAUCU